rfam:Oryza barthii chromosome 4, whole genome shotgun sequence.
AAAGAGUGCAGUUUUAUACUUUUCAUAUUCAAUGUUUGAUCGUCCGUCUUAUUUGAAGAUUUUUUAUGAUUAGUUUUUUUAAUUAGAUGAUAAAACAUAAAUAAUAUUUAACUAUUUUUAAAAUUAAUAUAAUUUUUUUAAAUAAGACGGACGGUUAAAUGUUGAUAUAGAAGCAACGACUUCACUUAAA